rnacentral:lncRNA from 1 species
GGACUCUUUGACAUUUUAACUGUUAUCUGAGUCAUAAUGUUUUGUAUUAUUGCAUGUGUUUCUUUUAGGAAUAUGAAUUUUUGUCCAACAUAACAUUUGAAGUAGACAUCUUAAAUUUUCCAAUGCACUUGGUCCCACCUCAAAAUAAUUAAAAAUGAGUGAGGUAGGUCCUUGCGAACUUGACCCAAAAUUAGGGUUUCUGUCAAAACAUGUGUAUGUGAAUUUUGCCAAAAGGGACCAAAUUCAAGCCCUUCAACAUAACAAUAACAAGUCCUUGAAUUAGGGUUUCUGACCUAUAAAUUUUUGUUUUAUGAUAUGUGUUUAUUUUAGAAUUAUGAAAGAAACUUAAUGUUUGGAGAAUACACAAAGAUAAAUUUGACAUAAUACGAAUUGAUAUUAAUAAAAUUUGGAUUUUAC